rnacentral:rRNA from 1 species
GAGUUUGAUCAUGGCUCAGGACGAACGCUGGCGGCGUGCCUAACACAUGCAAGUCGAGCGAUGAAACCCUUCGGGGUGGAUUAGCGGCGGACGGGUGAGAAAAAAAUAGGUAACCUGCCUCAAAGAGGGGGAUAGCCUCCCGAAAGGGAGAUUAAUACCGCAUAACAUUAUUUCUUCGCAUGAAGAGAUAAUCAAAGGAGUAAUCCGCUUUGAGAUGGACCCGCGGCGCAUUAGCUAGUUGGUGAGGUAAUGGCUCACCAAGGCAACGAUGCGUAGCCGACCUGAGAGGGUGAUCGGCCACAUUGGAACUGAGAUACGGUCCAGACUCCUACGGGAGGCAGCAGUGGGGAAUAUUGCGCAAUGGGGGAAACCCUGACGCAGCAACGCCGCGUGGGUGAAGAAG